AGGAUCCGGGAAGUUGAUUACAAAGAAUCUCUUAUCUCCUGCGUACUCAACCUGUUUUCAGCAAUAUUGUCAGUCCUGCACACCACAGCCAUCAUUUCCUGUGACUUCUGCCCUUUCACUCUGCAGCACAAAAACAGGUCACUAUUAUAAAAUUAACUCUUGGACUUUCCUGAGCACUGUGACAUCCUCCCCGGAUUAGUUCUCAUUUCAUUUUCUAUAGCAUCAACAGCAGAGCCAGCACUCAUUCUCUUCAAACAAAUUACUAAAG